ACAUCCAGAGAAUUUAGCAGAGAUGCUUUAGUGCCUUCGGGAACUCUGAGACAGGUGCUGCAUGGCUGUCGUCAGCUCGUGUUGUGAAAUUGUUGGGUUAAGUCCCCGCAACGAGCGCAACCCUUAUCCUUUGUUGCCAGCACGUAAUGGUGGGAACUCAAAGGAGACUGCCGGUGAUAAACCGGAGGAAGGUGGGGAUGACGUCAAGUCAUCAUGGCCCUUACGAGUAGGGCUACACACGUGCUACAAUGGCGCAUACAAAGAGAAGCGACCUCGCGAGAGCAAGCGGACCUCAUAAAGUGCGUCGUAGUCCGGAUUGGAGUCUGCAACUCGACUUCAUGAAGUCGGAAUCGCUAGUAAUCGUAAAUCAGAAUGUUACGGUGAAUACGUUCCCGGGCCUUGUACACACCGCCCGUCACACCAUGGGAGUGGGUUGCAAAAGAAGUAGAUAGCUUAACCUUCGGGAGGGCGUUUACCACUUUGUGAUUCAUGACUGGGGUGAAGUCGUAACAAGGUAAGCGUAGUGCU
rnacentral:rRNA from 1 species